rnacentral:misc_RNA from 1 species
UAAUCCACCACGUGCCACAUUCCUGUGCAAAUAGGAGGAUCUGUUAGCUUUUGAAAGACUAAUUUCAGAAGGCAACUUAAUUAGUGAUGAUAAAGCUUUUGAAAGACUAAUUUCAGAAGGCAACUUAAUUAGUGAUGAUAAAGAGGAUAAGCCUGUGAAAAUGUGCAAGAACAGAAAAUUUAAGCAGCAAACAACCCAAUGUUUCUUGCUUUUAAAGUAUGUGUACGUUUAUGAUCUUACAGAGCUAAGACCUAAAAUUUAAACCAUGCUAGCACUUGUCGUAAUGUUACAGGGCUGGUAUCUCCAAGUGAAGAAGUUUCUCCUUGAGUAUAUUAUCCAAAACAAAUAUUUUCGCCUUUUUGUAUUACUUUUGUAAGCGGACAUUAGUUACAAACUUAAAUUUAAGGUAAAUAAAAAUUCAGAUAUAGGCGUAUAGCUAGAACUAGUACACUGUAGCAGUCGAAUAUUAAAUACUUGAGAUUCUUUUCAUUUGACGAGAAACACAAAAAACAAACCAGAAUGUGAUUGCCUUGUAAACAACAUAUCUUAUUCUCUAUCAUCACAUGUGCUCUGCUAUAAAGAACACGACUACCUAGAUGAAUCAGUCUGAUCUUAACUCAUUUUGUACUUUCAAGAUGACCUCAAUCUAGAAUCGAUGGGUUCGUAAAAGGAAGCAGAGAUCAUAAGCUAAAGCCUAGUUCCUCAGUUAUCCAGACAUGGCAUUGUUACAGGCCAAACAGAAACUCCUCAACACAUUUAGCUCAUUAGCUGGAAUUUUUGUUAUUGCAAAAAGAUAAAAGCAAGCACCAAGCUUGCUCUAUAGAAAAAAACACAAACAACAUAUUGAAAACUACGGGGAAAGCAGCCCAAUCACUUCCUUUCAUCCUGCAGUGCAUUAUAAAAUAUCAAUUGCUCAUGGUAUAACUAAAUACAUUAUAAAAUAUGCAAAGUCAGUGAACAAAGAAAAUGAGAUAAACCAAACUGGAUGGAUUGUAUCUAUCAUGGUAUCACCUCCUUAAUCACUGUGAAGUGAUAGAUGAUGAUACAAAAUCCUAUAUCGACUUGUAGUCAAGUGGGCUAGAGCCUUAUAAGGCCAAG